rnacentral:rRNA from 1 species
UACGUAGGGUGCAAGCGUUGUCCGGAAUUAUUGGGCGUAAAGAGCUCGUAGGCGGCUUGUCACGUCGACUGUGAAAACCCGGGGCUCAACUCCGGGCCUGCAGUCGAUACGGGCGGGCUGGAGUUCGGUAGGGGAGACUGGAAUUCCUGGUGUAGCGGUGAAAUGCGCAGAUAUCAGGAGGAACACCGGUGGCGAAGGCGGGUCUCUGGGCCGAUACUGACGCUGAUGCGCGAAAGCCAGGGGAGCGAACGGG